UCACGUUCUUUUUUCUUGUGCUCUUGUUCCUAACAGGGGCUUCCCUCUUUUCUUCUUUAUUGCUUCCAGUUUUUGUUGGCAGCCUCACGCCUCCUGGAUUCUGCUUGUCUAUCACGUCUUUUCCCUGCACUUUUCUCUUCAUUGAUUCUUUUUCUUUUUUGCUUCUUUGGUCUGUUCUUUUUGCUUUUUCUUUUCAUUUUUUUUUUGGCUUCCCCGUUUUCUGCCCCAGCCUUCUCUUCCAGCUUGUCAG
rnacentral:lncRNA from 1 species